rnacentral:lncRNA from 1 species
UCUUCUGCCCCCCCUUUCAUUCUGGAUCAUUGUGUUAGGAUUUGUAGGACAGAUCUUGCACUUGUAAUUUUUUGCUCCACAAUAACAAAUCAUACAUUUCUAAAGUUGCUUUUCCAGUGUUACCAUAUCUUGUCUUCCUGCCUGCAACUUGUGGCUUCCCUGUCUCUGUGCUGGUCACAUGCAAGGGCUCAUGCUAUGGAAAGUGGAAUUGAAAAGAUCUCCGGUCUGUGGUUGGAGGAGCUGGGCCUGCGGAGUGCACGAUGCUGCGGAGCUAGAAAGCUUGUGACUUCCCUGUCUCUGCGUAGUCACAUGGAAGCGCUCAUGCUAUGGAAAGUGGAAUUAGUAGGUAAGCUAAAAACCAGACCAGUUCUGGGCUGAAAUGUCUGUUCCUCUCCACACCCCAGCCCUGCUCCAGAGAAAUCAGAGUGUCCCAAAGCCAUUGGCUUGAAAAAAAAACAAACAGAAACCCUUGGAGCUUGAUGAGCAGAAUGGUAUGGGCUCAGUCAGAACUCCCGAGUUGGUUUUGAGCAGUGCCCCAGAAUGAUGCUUUGCUGCGUGUGAAAUGUGGAUCUGAGGCUUUGACCGCUUAUAAUACAGUAACUGGUCCCAUUCUGGCACUUGUCUCGGGAGUGUGUGUUGACCCCAGUGUGCUGGCCAGGUUCCACCGUGGGGAAUUCUGGGAUGGCGCAAUGUAACUAAGCCUGUAAUGUCAGUGAACUCAUUCUUCCCACAGACUGUUGUAUUGCUGAUGGAAAAUAGCUGCUGCGUGUUAGUGCUGCAGGUCAUCUCUGUAUAAAAAUCACACCCGUGAGAGGGUCUUUGGGGUUCAGAUGAUGCAGCAUAAAUGCUGUUGAUCAUUAGAAGUAGGAAUCACGAGACUGCAGCCUUAGUUACGCAUGCACUGAUCUGUGGCAAAGUCCAUAUGAAUAAAUAUAUCAGCUUGUGA